GAACGCUGGCGGCGUGCCUAAUACAUGCAAGUCGAACGGUCUUUCUAUGGAAGCUUGCUUCCACUGAGAAGAUAGUGGCGAACGGGUGAGUAACACGUGAGUAACCUGCCCAUAAGAGGGGGGAUAACAUCCGGAAACGGGUGCUAAUACCGCAUAGUUUUCUUGAUCGCAUGAUCGGGAAAGGAAAGACGGCCUUUGUGCUGUCGCUUAUGGAUGGACCCGCGGCGUAUUAGUUAGUUGGUGAGGUAACGGCUCACCAAGACGAUGAUACGUAGCCGACCUGAGAGGGUGAUCGGCCACAUUGGGACUGAGACACGGCCCAAACUCCUACGGGAGGCAGCAGUAGGGAAUCUUCCGCAAUGGACGAAAGUCUGACGGAGCAACGCCGCGUGAGUGAAGAAGGUUUUCGGGAAUCGUAAAACUCUGUUGUCAGAGAAGAACAAGUUGGAGAGUAACUGCUCCAGCCUUGACGGUAUCUGACCAGAAAGCCACGGCUAACUACGUGCCAGCAGCAGC
rnacentral:rRNA from 1 species